CCUACGGGAGGCAGCAGUGGGGAAUAUUGGACAAUGGGCGAAAGCCUGAUCCAGCAAUUCCGCGUGUGUGAAGAAGGCCUUCGGGUUGUAAAGCACUUUAGGUUGGGAAGAAAAAGCUUCGGUGAAUAUCCGGAGUGUUGACGGUACCAACAGAAUAAGCACCGGCUAACUCUGUGCCAGCAGCCGCGGUAAUACAGAGGGUGCAAGCGUUAAUCGGAUUUACUGGGCGUAAAGCGUGCGCAGGUGGUUUCGUAAGUCGGAUGUGAAAGCCCCGGGCUCAACCUGGGAACUGCGUUCGAUACUGCGAGACUAGAGUUUGGUAGAGGGUGGCGGAAUUCCCGGUGUAGCGGUGAAAUGCGUAGAUAUCGGGAGGAACAUCAAUGGCGAAGGCAGCCACCUGGGCCUGAACUGACACUGAGGCACGAAAGCGUGGGUAGCAAACAGGAUUAGAUACCCUGGUAGUCCACGCCGUAAACGAUGAGAACUUGACGUUGGUUACGUUUACGAUCGGUGUCGUAGCUAACGCGAUAGUUCUCCGCGUGGGGAGGACGGCCGCGAGUAGAACGACGAAGAAGUAGACGCGUGAGAGCGCGACGGACGACGACGAGGGAGGAGG
rnacentral:rRNA from 1 species